AUUGAACGCUAGCGGGAGGCUUUACACAUGCAAGUCGAACGAGUGGCGGACGGGUGAGUAAGAUAUCGGAACGUGCCCAGUAGCGGGGGAUAACUACUCGAAAGAGGGGCUAAUACCGCAGAAUAUUGGAGCGGCCGAUAUCGGUUUAGCUAGUUGGUGGGGUAAAGGCUCCACAAGGAAACGAUCCGUAGCUGGUUUGAGAGGAAGACCAGCCACACUGGGACUGAGACACGGCCCAGCCUCCUACGGUAGGCAGCAGUGGGGAAUUUUGGACAAUGGGGGAAACCCUGAUCCAGCCAUCCCGCGUGUAUGAGAAGGCCUUCGGGUUGUAAAGUACUUUUGGCAGAGAAGCGGUAUCUGCAGAAUAAGCACCGGCUAACUACGUGCCAGCCGCCGCGGUAAUAC
rnacentral:rRNA from 1 species